CCCUUAGAUGUUCUGGGCCGCACGCGCGCUACACUGACGGAGGCGGCGAGCAUGUCCUUCGCCGAGAGGUGUGGGGAAUCUUGUGAGUCUCCGUCGUGCUGGGGAUAGAUGGUUGCAAUUGUCGAUCUUGAACGAGGAAUUCCUAGUAAGCGCGAGUCAUCAGCUCGCGCUGAUUACGUCCCUGCCCUUUGUACACACCGCCCGUCGCUACUACCGAUUGGAUGGUUUAGCGAGAGCCUUGGAUUGGAGCCCAGGUGGUCGGCAACGGCCGCUCGGGAUGCCGAGAAAUUGCUCCAGCUGACUCAUCUAGAGGAAGUAAAAGUCGUAACA
rnacentral:rRNA from 1 species